UACUUCCUCAUAAUAUUGGGACUCUAAACAUCAGACGCUACAACUGUUUGACUCUUCACGUGGGCUGCGUGCCAACAUAUGAAGUGAUAAUGAAAGUGAGGCUUCAAUCCAACUUCUGUUGGAAAAGUGCCUUUGAAAGAGCGAGUAUGAAACAAAGCGCUGUGUGUCUCCUUGUGGUCCUUGUUUUGGUCAGCUGCCUCUGGAGCACGGAGGGUCGAUAUUUGCCAACUCGGUCUGACAACAGCCGGUACGAGCACAUCAAAGAAGUACUCAGAGCGUUGUUGGAUCUGAACGACAGUGAAGUUCAGGCCGGAAGACAAAACUACAUGUAUGAGGAUGUCUUGCGUUCGAAAAGGGAUGCUUUUAAACAGCACCCGUCCUCACCUUUGGAAUCUUAAAUCAUCGGAAAAGGCUAGUCCAUUUCAACAUUAUUAUUUUGUAGCUAGACAUGAAAGAGAGCAGAUCAUCUUCUCACUUUCAAAGACUUUAUUUCCUGCGUUCGUGCCAACUAACUCUCCGAUUAAAUUAUUAAUGAGUCCUCCUAUUUUGCUCAGAAGUUGGACCUUAUGCAUUUGAAAUCUGUUCAUUUCAUGUACAAUAUUAUGUUAUCAUUCAGUGAAUAAAAUCAUUUUAUUGGUGUCCUA